rnacentral:lncRNA from 1 species
AAUCAACUUAAUUUCUCCAUUUAAUUUUACUAAAUCUGUUAGGGAAUACAUUUUCCAAUAAAUAACAGGUUUAUCUAGAUCCAUUGAACAAGUAACACAAUUAUUAGACUUGUGUUAUCAUAGCUAUUGAGUUCCAGAAUCCUCAAACUUUUCCACUGCAGAAUCUUCCUGGCUAAAUAAUAGAAAUGUUGUAUUUCUAAUGUCAGAUGGUCAACUAAAUCGCAUGCUAAGUGGCUGCCUGAGGUCAUAAUCAGAAGAAGGACUCUCCAUGUCCCUUAUGCAAAUAGCACUAAGUCCAGAUUCUUCCUCUAAUAGCCAAGUGUCAGACUAACCUUAAUACAUAAACCCACACUCACAGACUGUUGAGCAGAUAUCCAGUAGAAAUUUUUCAGUGAAUGUGCUAUUAGGAGCCUCCAAACUUGUUUUCGACAGAAUUGUUCCAACAGUAAACAUUGGCCCUGGGUGCCAACCUGACACAAUUCUUUGAUGAGCAAUUUUUCUCAUGUAGUGAAGAGAAAAAUAGGUCCCAUUCUUGCCUAAUUGACUUAGCAGUAGCCUAAUAUAGGAAUGAUGCAGAUACAAACUAGUAGUAAUAGAAACUAAUUGUAUAAUUCUGCAUUCUAAAGUAAAAUUUUUGUCUUUUGCAAUCAAGUCUCAAAGCUACUUCUUUAAUUACCAGUACUCUCUCCAACAAUGCCAAUUUUAAGC